AAAUGAAUUGACGGGGACCCGCACAAGCGGUGGAGCAUGUGGUUUAAUUCGAAGCAACGCGAAGAACCUUACCAAAACUUGACAUCCCAUUGACCGGUCCUUAAUCGGACCCUUCAGAGCUUGCUCUGACAGUGGAGACAGGUGGUGCAUGGUUGUCGUCAGCUCGUGUCGUGAGAUGUUGGGUUAAGUCCCGCAACGAGCGCAACCCUUAUCUUUAGUAGCCAUCAUUAAGUUGGGCACUCUAGAGAGACUGCCAAGGAUAACUUGGAGGAAGGUGGGGAUGACGUCAAAUCAUCAUGCCCCUUAUGUUUUGGGCUACACACGUGCUACAAUGGCUGCUACAAAGGGAAGCAACCUAGUAAUAGUGAGCAAACCUCAAAAAAGCAGUCCCAGUUCGGAUUGUAGUCUGCAACUCGACUACAUGAAGUUGGAAUCGCUAGUAAUCGCGAAUCAGAAUGUCGCGGUGAAUACGUUCCCGGGUCUUGUACACACCGCCCGU
rnacentral:rRNA from 1 species